CAUUUGUCGUUCAGGCAGAUAGUGGACCACAACGAGAUCACGCACCACUUCCUGUUAUCCAUCUCCAUCUACAGUGCCGUCGCGCCGUCGACAAUGAGGUAAUUACAAAUACAAAUUAAGCGGCCACCACGGCAAGUUUUCUCUCUGACUUAUUUGCCAAGACGGUGAAUAACAGCCGAUCACAGAACGUGAUAAACAAACUGUAGCAUGCAGCGACAGCAUUAUGUCAAUUUUGGACACCGAGUCGCACAGGCAUGGUCUGAAAGGGGUCAAUAUUCAUUAUCUCGGUGCCCGUUUGGGCAAAGAUAUCAAAGACAUCAGGAAGGAGCUGAGCGCCCUUCAAAUCAUCGAAGAGGUCUACAACACCGUAGACGAAGACCACUACAAGGCAACAUCAGAAGAUUUGCUUUUAUUGUGACUCGUUGCCUUUUUAUGUGAGGAGGAAUAAAAUAUGCGGCAUCGUUUUCUUCUUAA